rnacentral:rRNA from 1 species
AACGAACGCUGGCGGCAGGCUUAACACAUGCAAGUCGAACGCAUCCUUCGGGGUGAGUGGCAGACGGGUGAGUAACGCGUGGGAACGUGCCCUUCAGUUCGGGAUAACCCAGGGAAACUUGGGCUCAUACCGGAUACGUGCGAGAGCAGAAAGAUUUAUCGCUGAAGGAUUGGCCCGCGUCUGAUUAGCUAGUUGGCGGGGUAAUGGCCCACCAAGUGAACGAUCAGUAGCUGGUCUGAGAGGAUGAUCAGCCACAUUGGGACUGAGACACGGACCAAAUUCUGUCGGGAGGAAGCAGUGGAGAAGAUUUGACAAGGGGCGCAAGCCUGAUCCAGCCAUGCAGGGUGAGUGAUGAAGGCCUUAGGGUUGUAAAGCUCUUUCGCCCGGGACGAUAAUGACGGUACCGGAAGAAGAAGCCCCGGAUAACUACGUGCCAGCCGCCGCCGUAA